GACGGCCUUCGGGUUGUAAACCNCNNUUAGCAGGGAAGAAGCGAAAGUGACGGUACCUGCAGAAAAAGCGCCGGCUAACUACGUGCCAGCAGCCGCGGUAAUACGUAGGGCGCAAGCGUUAUCCGGAAUUAUUGNNCGUAAAGAGCUCGUAGGCGGUUUGUCGCGUCUGCUGUGAAAUCCGGAGGCUCAACCUCCGGCCUGCAGUGGGUACGGGCAGACUAGAGUGCGGUAGGGGAGAUUGGAAUUCCUGGUGUAGCGGUGGAAUGCGCAGAUAUCAGGAGGAACACCGAUGGCGAAGGCAGAUCUCUGGGCCGUAACUGACGCUGAGGAGCGAAAGGGNGGGGAGCAAACAGGCUUAGAUACCCUGGUAGUCCACCCCGUAAACGUUGGGAACUAGUUGUGGGGNCNNNCNGAUUCCGUGACGCAGCUAACGCAUUAAGUUCCCCGCCUGGGGAGUACGGCCGCAAGGCUAAAACUCAAAGGAAUUGACGGGGACCCGCACAAGCGGCGGANCAUGCGGAUUANNNCNAUGCAACGCGAAGAACCUUACCAAGGCUUGACAUAUACGAGAACGGNCCAGAAAUGGUCAACUCUUUGGACACUCNUAAACAG
rnacentral:rRNA from 1 species